rnacentral:rRNA from 1 species
UACGGAGGGUGCAAGCGUUAUCCGGAUUUACUGGGUUUAAAGGGUGCGUAGGCGGAUUAUUAAGUCCGUGGUGAAAUCUUUGGGCUCAACCCAAAAAUUGCCAUUGAUACUAUUAGUCUUGAAUGUAGUUGAGGUGGGCGGAAUGAGUCAUGUAGCGGUGAAAUGCUUAGAUAUGACUCAGAACACCAAUUGCGAAGGCAGCUCACUAAACUAAUAUUGACGCUGAGGCACGAAAGCGUGGGGAGCAAACAGG